AGAGUUUGAUCCUGGCUCAGAGCGAACGCUAGCGGCGGGCUUAACACGUGCAAGUCGAACGCUUCCGGACUUCGGUCCAUAUGGAAGAGUGGCGAACGGGUGAGUAACACGUAGGUAACGUGCCCUUUGGCGGGGGAUAACCGCGGGAAACCGUGGCUAAUACCGCAUAUCGCGCAUCAGUCGCAAGUCAGAUGCGUGAAAGACUUCGGUCACCAAGGGAGCGGCCUGCGGCCCAUUAUUUAAUCCUAGUUGGUAAGGUAACGGCUUACCAAGGGUACGAUGGGUAGCUGGUCUGAGAGGAUGAUCAGCCACACUGGGACUGAGACACGGCCCAGACUCCUACGGGAGGCAGCAGUGGGGAAUAUUGCGCAAUGGACGAAAGUCUGACGCAGCCACGCCGCGUGUGUGAUGAAGGCCUUCGGGUUGUAAAGCACUGUCGGGAGGGACGAAGGUAGUUUACUACUUGACGGUACCUCGCAAGAAAGCACCGGCUAACUCCGUGCCAGCAGCCGCGGUAAUACAGAGGGUGCAAGCGUUGCUCGGAAUCACUGGGCGUAAAGCGAGCGCAGGCGGCUAGAUAAGUCAGGUGUGAAAGCCCGGGGCUCAACCCCGGAACUGCAUCUGAAACUGUCUAGCUAGAGUACAGAAGAGGAAGGGGGAAUUCCAGGUGUAGAGGUGAAAUUCGUAGAUAUCUGGAGGAACACUCGUGGCGAAGGCGCCUUUCUGGUCUGUUACUGACGCUCAUGCUCGA
rnacentral:rRNA from 1 species